CGUCACAACACAAGUAGAGAAAUAUUUCGGACUUCUGGCCGCACUGCCGUAGAGCAUAAAAUGAACACUUUAGAGUGAAACAUCAAUCUGAACGAAACGACCAGGAAACUACUGUCAUCACUCUCACACUGACAGAUUAACGAAGCAGCAAGAACAUCCGCUCACCCGACAAAGUGAGCUGCGAACAAAGAUUACUUUCAGUGCUUCGUGACCCUCCACAUCGCAAACUCGAUUUCAGCACCUGCAGAUCCACUAGCGUGGUUGGAAAAAGCUUCGCAAAAAGAAAACUAAUAAAGAGCGCACGUACACUCGGAGGAAAAAAGGAACCGCUACAAAAGAACACAUCAGCACAGCGUCGGUUGAGCCAUUUUGCCCACCACUAGCACACGCAACUCCGCUGGACCGUAUCACGGGAGGUGCUACACAAGUGGUACGUGCCCUCAUCGGACAAUCGCAUCGGCACUCCCCGGCAUAUCCCCGCCGGUCAUCAUUCGUAAGCAGCAAGCGAAGCGAUCUAGGCAUUACCACUGUUAGGUGCUCUAGUGGUGCAUCCACGUGCGAUCGGGUUGGAGCCAAAUAAGGAGCGAUAGUGUAGGUGGGAAAGCACACGUGUCAACCUCAAAAUACAAGACAAAGCUGUUGCAGAGAAGCAGUAGUCAACCAGCCAGUCGUGAAACGUCACAGGGUGCGUGUCGUCACUGGAGGAAAGUAUAGCUAGUCAUCUGCUGGCGGGACGUUAAUGCACGGCCGUGAACUAGUGUUCAGAAAUCAUCAAACGAUACAGGCAUCAAGAGUCAGCCGUCAGCGGAAGGCGCAGUGACACGAAGAGACAGAACGGGGUGAAGCCAUUUUGAGGUCUGA